CCCUGGUUAGCUCAGUUGGUAGACCGCUCCACUUGUAAUGGAGAGGUCCCGGGUUCGAUACCCGGACCAGGCG
rfam:Ixodes scapularis strain Wikel colony gcontig_1107728813904, whole genome shotgun sequence.